CACAUUAUUACUAUACACAACAACAUGGGUCCCAUAAUCAUCCAGAGUUAAAAAAUCGGUUUCUCUUAAACAAAACGAGAAAAUGGAGCGCGUGACAGCCAAAAUUUUAGAGAAGGAUGGCGGCAUCGCGAAUUUUUCCCCACCUGGAUAACCCUAAAUCCUCCACAGCGCCGCCAAUCUCCCUUUUGUAUCUCAGAUCCAAUCGAGUCCCACCACCGCUAUCCUCUUCCAUCGUUGUAUCGCCGCUCCUAGCCCUCGCUGCCACCAGGUUAUCCCCCUCCUUCCUCCGUGCAUCUGAGACGAGCGGACGGUGGCGUAGUGAAUCAAGACUGGGCAACAGGCGGACGGUGGCGAAGUGAUGGAUCCCCUCCCCCCUUCCCCCCGCCGGUGACUGGACCUUACGCGUGCGGCCGGUGGUGUGAUGGCGGCCGACAUAUCUCCGCCGCCUCUCUCCCCCCGCCAGUGAUGACGCGUAUUCCAGCACCCCUCUAGCCCGUGUAGGCCUGCCGGAACCUUGCCCAGACGAUGGGUCACCUGGUGGAUGUCCUCGAUCCUUGGCAGCGCCAAGCAGUACUGGCCGUCUGUAGGUGCCGGACGGCCCGAAUAUCGCCACCACUAGAUCCAUCUGCCCCUGUCGUUGCUGCCACAUUGCCAUAUCUCGUAAUUCGCAGUUGCCAUCGCCAUCUUAUUUUCUCCGGAUGCUCAGCCGUCCUCUGAAUCCCUCCCUUUAUUUGUGCAAUAAAUACUCUGAUUUUGCUGCUCUGUCUGCCUCAUCUUGCAGCAUGACACCUUUGGACAUGAGGGUGGCAAGAUGGAGUCCCGACUACUGCUGUCGUCGCCUUGAGCUUGCUUGCCCUUGAUGGAAGAACCACAAGCUGGACUGCCACGGGUUGCUCGCUCUCACCAAACCAGACCAACAUCUUCAAGUUAUCAUUGUAAGCACCCCCCCUUCCUCCUCAUGUUGCUACUAAAAUCAAUCUGUACGCAUGGGUUUAAUUGUCUAGGUGAGUGCUCGGGUUGCUGUGUUGGUAUCGGGGCAAUGUGGGAAACUUUAGUAUGUGAUAGUUGGAUCAGUAGGUGUCCUUAGAAGUGUUUGUCGGCAGAAAAUGGUUUCAACAAUAGAGUGGCUGAUUGCUUAGGAGUUGGGUCGACCUGUAUUUUGUGGCACAGCACUGACUUUGUGUAGCUGUUGAUUCUAAAAGCCAAAUAUAUCAUGCGUUCUGGACCUUACAUAUAUAUUUCUAGCAUACUGAUGAAUUCAGUGUCAUAUCAAAUAUGACAUCAACUCCUUUUGGUAGUUCCAUGUUACUAAAUGAUAUCCUGUCAUGUAGACUUGCAGAUUAACAUUGUCGAGUAGCAAUUUGUGUUGAAAGGCUAGAACUAGACGCUGGUUUGAUCAGUGCUGCCCUUUGUGGUCUCUAGAAAACAAAAAGUAUUGUGUUUAUCUGUUUUGCAUCGUUUAGUAGACUUGCUGCAGUAGGUGCUCAUUUUUUUCUGAUACAAUUUUGGAGGGCUAUGUUAUCCACAUUGUUUGACUGGAUCAUCUCCAAUGGCCAUGGCAUCGGUGCCAGGAGGUGCAGGGCGAUUGGCUCUUGUGGCGGGCGGCUGUGCUCCCAGCAGCCAAGGAGAUAUGUGCGUUCGUGCGCAAGGACCCUAGGCAUCCCAUGUAUGCGGCCAAGGUGACUACGCCUCUUGCAGCUUCGUGUGCCAUCCUUACUGUCGUCGUUGCCUUUGUGUUCAACAUCGAUCAGUCUAUAUCUUUUCUUUUUGAAAGAUGUCGAUUGAUGAAGGUGUUUGUGACUUCUAAAUGUUUACAUGAAUAUUCCAAAUCUGCUGCUUAAGUAAAUCUUACCUGAGAUGGACCAAGUCUUGCUUUGCUUAAGUAAAACUGAACAUGCAUGGUAAGAACAAAAUCCCGAUUCAUUUAUGUAGUGUAUCCACUGUUUUGUAAUAUUUCACCGAAAUUUUCCUUAGUUGUUUGUAUAACGGUCUCCUAAAUAAUUUGGUUAAAUAUAGAAGCAUUGACUAGACAUGUAUGUUUUACAAGGUGGCAUGGUUUGAGCAUUCCUCGUUAUUUUCAUGCUUCCAGUAUUUCCUAUCCCAUUUAUAUGUUCUGUUCAUUGGCAUAUCCUCCUAUAAGUGUCAUGACCACAAGAUAACUUGAUAUUAGUUGUCUUAUAACCACUUAUGCCUUGCAGGUGUCACGAGAUGAUUGCAUGGAGUAUCUCAUGGGAUAAUAUAAGAGGCAACAAUAGAUAAAAAGAUGCGAACAAAAAAGGUUUUCACCUGUCCACAAUUUCCUGUUAUUUGUAAAGUAUAUGUUAAUUAUUUUGGCCCACAUUAAAAAUUUGGACGUGUAAAUACGAGGCCUUAGCUUAUAGGUUGGUACAGGUGGAUAUAUUUUAUCUUGUCGAAUUCUAGCAGGCAUGCCUUUUUAAGAUGAUCUUUUUAUGUUUAAGCAUUCCAGCCCCUUGAUCGAUGAGAGUGCUUUCUCGAGUAGAAAGUACAGUAAUAAACAUGAGAAAAUAAGUAUAUAUGCAACUGUUGUGGUUAAAGUUGCUAUUAACUGUCUUAGUGGUUCUAUACCCACUUUGUUGAAUAGGUGUGCUGUGUGCAUAAGUAUAUAUUCAGUUUUACUAGUUAUGAAUAAAUAUGUUGUAUAUAUUCUGUAUUGCUGGGUGUGCAUAGGUAUAUAAAUAGUAUUGCAUGGAGUAUCUGAUGGGAAGUUUCAUUGUGUUAUUUGAUCCUUAUUCGAUCUGCCUUGUUUCUUCAGAUAAAAAUGCAAGGUGUGCCACCUGUUUGGCGUUCCUACACUCCAUCUUUGCAAACAACUCUAUUUUAAUAAAAAAUUCCAUCAAAACACAACAUCAUUUUUGCCGGCAAGAUGCUCGUAUCCAAUUGGAUCCCUGAGUGAGGAUAAAACUAAAAGAAUAUAUAAAACUAAACUAAACUAUUGUUUUUGCUCAUAAGAAACAAUGUAAUGCCCCAAAAUGACUUAUCUACUUAUAACUAAACUUAGAAGAGGUGAUUGAGUUCACUGUCCAGAAGAAAUUAAUUGGGAAAACUUACUAUAGAUUAUUCACAAUUUCUCCAUUGUUAGGAGCAAGUGCUUAACUAGAACUUUUAGAACUGGUUAUGAGCUAAAAUUACAAUCGUUAAUUUUUGUAUCUAUAUGUAUCCUGAUCUGUUGCUCGUGGGCUGAUUCUUGUUAUACCAAGAUUGUCCUGAUUAUCCUAAGAUUGUAAUUUUAUUUUUCUCUUUAAGCUAGGUUUCUUUUCAAGCAUGUCUAACAUCUACAUGGAAUUUUUGAGAUAAAUAAUAUAAGGAGAUUCUUUGUGGUACAUGUGCACGAACCUAUAAUCUCUUAUUAUCUGCUGCCCUUUUUAUUAUUAUACUUCCUCUGUCCCAAAAUAACUGUCUCAACUUUGCACUUGCUCUAGAACAAAAUUGUACUAAGUUUAAGACACUUAUUUUGGGACGGAGGGAGUAUGUGGCUCGUUGUCGACGGGCUUAUCUAUGCAUUAGUAUUUGAUGCUCUAUCAUGUUAGUUUCCUUGAUCUGCUUUCUGAGCCUUGCCAUCAUUUUCUUCUUGCAGGCGACAAUGGUAGGAGUGGCAGAUUGUGUAGAGGAAGAGGAUGAGAAGAAACUUGUGCUUCUCAUCCAAUCUUUGUAGAGCUCUCUUGAUGUGCGAUUGUGCACUUGUUGGAUCAUCUUUCUGUGCACUUGUAGUUGCAUAAGUAUUAUAUUGUGCACUUGUAAAAUUAUUUUGAUGUACACUUGUUAGGCCUUGAAUCUUGAUGUGUAGAGGAGUCGGUGGAUGAUGUAUUGUAUUUCAUGUGAUGUGCUACUUAAAUGAAAUAUAUAGUUUAUUUGCAAUCUUUUAUUCUGUUGUACUUGUUUUUUAAUAGGCCUAUCCUGAGAUAUGCGUGCUUCUGCCAAAAUAAUGCAUCAACUCAAACAAAUCAGACAUUUUCAAUAGUAAAAUAGUAUUGGGCCAGGUCCAUGUAGAAAUUCAUGAUGAUUCUAUUUGGUCACUAGCAAUGCCACGUCAGAUCCUACGUGGCUCACAC
rnacentral:lncRNA from 1 species